rnacentral:rRNA from 1 species
GACAGAGGGUGCAAACGUUGUUCGGAAUUACUGGGCGUAAAGCGUGUGUAGGCGGCCACGUAAGUCGGAUGUGAAAGCCCCGGGCUUAACCCGGGAAGUGCAUUCGAUACUGCGUGGCUUGAGUAUCGGAGAGGUUGGUGGAAUUCUCGGUGUAGAGGUGAAAUUCGUAGAUAUCGAGAGGAACACCGGUGGCGAAGGCGGCCAACUGGACGAAUACUGACGCUGAGGCACGAAAGCGUGGGGAGCAAACAGG